rnacentral:rRNA from 1 species
UCGAGAAUAACUCACAAUGGGGGCAACCCUGAUGGUGCAACGCCGCGUGGAGGAUGACGGUCUUCGGAUUGUAAACUCCUGUCAUCCGGGAGUAAGACCUGGGCGUUAAUAGCGCACAGGGUUGAUAGUACCGGAAGAGGAAGGGACGGCUAACUUCGUGCCAGCAGCCGCGGUAAUACGAAGGUCCCGAGCGUUGUUCGGAAUCACUGGGCGUAAAGGGAGCGUAGGCGGCGCGGUAAGUCAGAUGUGAAAUCCCGGGGCUCAACCCCGGAACUGCAUCCGAUACUGCCGUGCUAGAGGAUUGGAGAGGUAGCUGGAAUUCUUGGUGUAGCAGUGAAAUGCGUAGAGAUCAAGAGGAACACUCGUGGCGAAAGCGAGCUACUGGACAAUUCCUGACGCUGAGGCUCGAAGGCUAGGGUAGCGAAAGG